rnacentral:misc_RNA from 1 species
CACUUAUCUAAUUCCAUUAAUAUGUCUGGCUUAUUUUCAAAUAUCACAGUUUGAAUUUUCUCAUUUACAAAAAUGUUCUUGGUACGUUUGGUUACAUUUGUGGUAACAACCCCUCGUUUAUAAUCUAUUUAUAUAUGUAUAAAAUCGUUAAUUCAUUCACUUAUCAUAAAAUCUCAAAAACCACUGGAGACAGAAAAAUUAAAUUUGUCACGAAGGAAGUUUAUAGUUACUAGACAUCCGCUAAGAACUGAUUUUUUGAUAGAGCCAGAAUAAAGGGUUUUAAAGGUUUUCACAAGUUACUAUGAAAGUCGUUCGUUUUUUAUACUACAAGCGUAAGAUUUGGCAGGGAUAUAUUUAUUAGUUAGUAAACGUCCUCUAACAAACGAGUACACGCUAUUUUUGGCGCGAACUUGUGGAGGCCUAUGUCCAGCACUGCAAUAGGCUGAAAUGAUGAUGAUGAUGAUAAUGAUGAAACGACCUCUUAGAACGGGUUUCGCGACUAGGACUACGCCCGUUAGACAUCUUUGAUGCAGUCUAAAUUUUUUUUACAAAACUCAGAUUUUUUUAAAAUUCGACAGAGAUGUCGGUAAUAAUUAGCAGACGUCUACCACGAACGGGUUUUACAAUACAGGUCGCACUAGAUAUGUCUAAGGGCUCCCGAAUUUUUUAAACAUAUUUUUUGACUAUAUUUAUUCACUAUAUUUUUUGUGCUACAAGGUUAAAAUUUGGCAGGGAGACAGCUAAUACUACUUAGUAAUUUGUAGAUGUCUACUUAGGACGAGUUUUGUUCUAACGGCUCUCGAAAGAUUUUAUAGAAAUCUUUAAUUGCUUAUGUUACAAAAUUGAAAUUUGACAGAAAGAUUUACACUCUCGGUGAACUCAGCCUCUAGGGACUACGAUCCAGUUUUCGAAGGAAGGAAAAUGAAUUCGACAUGUGCACAGAUUAUACAGAAUGUUGUUCCUAUCACUAAUAUAAAUGAAAGCACAGGAGCUAAAGCCAUAUUAAAUAAAAUAAAAAAUUAAGUUAUCCUGUGAUAAGCAUUGUAUUAUACGUCUAUUAGACGAAAGGUAAUAUAGUUAAAGAAGUUUUGUUUUAGGUUGUUAGGUAUCUUGAAUUCAUUUUAAAGAGUUUUCAGCGAAGCAGAAGCGCUCUAUUUAAUUAAAAAGUAUUCCAGCGAGAGUGUAUCAGAUUUUUAUGCUUUAUUCACACUUUAGUUGAGGAGAAUAUGUUGUUAACCUUUAUGUAGUAACAUUUUCAUACUUUAAAUAUUUUGUUUUUAAAAAUAAUAUGUAUUUUUUUAAAUGUAAUAGCUCACAAUUGGCGAUUUAAUUUCAUUCUUUUUAUAAUAUUAAGAAGAUCACAGUUCAAAACGGGAAAAUUUCGAAUUGUAGUAUAUUGCUGACCACGAUUGCUGUAAAGUAUCCGGCUAUACUUGGGGUUUCUCUCAAAGAUAGCGCUAGAAAUGAGACUAUCCGCGAGAAAACGAAAGUAGCCUACAUAUUCUACAAACUUAGCAAGUUAAAGUGGCAGUGGGCUGGUCACAUGUGUCCCAGGACAGACAUGGUCGUUGGAGCAAACGUGUCCUGGAGUGGAGACCGCGUGUUGGCAAACGCAGUGUAGGACGUCCUCCGGUCCACUGGGCCAACUGCUGACGAAGAUGGCUGGUGUACCCUGGAUGAGGAUUGCGGAAAAACGGGAUGUUUGGCGUGAGCUUGGGCAGACCUAUAUCAAACGUCAAAAGCAAAAAUACCGUGACCGACAUGCAGCUCAUAAAACUUGCAAAGGUUUGUCGUGGGCUAUAAAACAUCAUUAAACGCCUUGCGGUCUCUUCUUUACGACUAACGACAUUGUUGACUGCAAUUGCAACUUCCUACUAAAGCGUAAGUUAAACCCAUGUCAUAUAAUAAAAAGUUCUGUAAGACAUAGUUGUUUCGAAGGGGAAAUAUUAAAAUAACGUGUGAUAACGCCGAGUCUAGGCCUAUUUAGUGUUGUAUUUAUUCAUUUGUUUAGGGAGACAGCUAUUGUUUCGGUGAGCCAAUCUUAGCCGAGAUUACGGGUACACGAGGUUUUUACUUCUUUGUAUGAUAAUAGUAUGUUAUAUGAUAAUAUAAUGAUAAUUAAUAUGAUAAUAGCCGCUCGGUGAACACCGUGCGAGAACUAAAUACAUUUUUAAACUAUAUCUACUUCAAAAAAAAAAUGUGAUUGUUUAUCUCUACGCGGCUGUAAAUUCGAUUAUUAGGUAUAACUUGGAACUGAUUGAACGAAUGUUUACUUCUAAGCUAGGUAUUAAUCCUUGUGGAUUUCCCCACCGUGCUUCGGAGCUGUGCCACACAUAUUAGGAAUUUUUGCUCACGCAGUGCAUCAGUUCAUUUAAUUAAGAAUCAAAACUUCUUCUACAUAGAGAAGAGGCCUUUUGUCCAACAGUGGAAUGUCUACAGGCUAAAUCAGUUCUGUUCAGGCUUGCCUUGGAAUUUGGUCGGGGCCCUUCUUAGGGUCUGCGAAAUCCAAACCCACUUGCGGUGUCCUAACUGGAGACCAAGCUCUGUUUUGGAGCAGUGAUUCUACAGUUGGAGAUCUUAUCGAGCCACUGGAUACCGAGGAACUAAGCCAUCUGCCGAUGAAUGGAUGAUAGCAUUAUAAUUGUUGUAUUUUUAUAAAAGCUAAAUUAUUUUUAAAUAUGAAUACAUUUUAAUAUGAAUACAUUUUAAUAUAGUUAAGUUACAAAGAGUAAGAAUACAAAUUUAUUUUGUAAAUAUCAAUAUUUGAUUUUGAUUUGAAUAAUCAGUUCAUUGAUUAGAUAAUAUUUAUAAUAAAAGCUUGGCGGUAGCAUGCAACGAACAUUCUUUUAACGGAGCCUGUUUCUAGAAAUAUUGAUAGUGAUUUUCCCGAACAUCACGUCGGUACUAUAAAUUGAUUCGGUACCAGAUGUGUUUCGAGUACACCAGAAAUUCCGAUACCAGUCUUGACAUUAUUAUUAUCAGGAUUCGCAAGUUGAUGAAUGUGAAUAAAUAUACAUUAUUACAUUACAAUAUUUUAGUAUAUGCGGUUCUAUAAACCAAAUUUUUAUACCUAUGUCUAAAAUUACGAAGUUUUGCGUGAAAAAUGAGUCUUAACUUAGCUGUUUCAAAUCUAAAAAUAAAAUGUAAUAUAUUGUAAAUACAAAGAAGACAUUAUAUUUAUCUUCUUGAAAUUUCAUAGUAUUCAUUUCAUAUCUAUAUAUUGAGAAACCCUGGGAUAUAUAAAGUUUUAAUAUUUCAAAACUACCAGAACGUAUACACUUUAUACUGCAAAGAAAAAAUCAUUAAAAAGCUAGUUAUUAAUUAUUCAGAGGUCUCAUCAUUUACAUAACUAUUUUUCCUUAUUUAUUGUAGUCUUAUGUGUAAAUGUAAUCCGAUUGUGUUUUUGAUUAUUAUUAGUGAUAACAUUUAUUUGUUUUACAUGUAUUAAUAGUUUCUUGGCCUACAAUAAAACAUACAAUAAUUCAUAAUGUCUACGACAGAAUAGAAGUCUCGACCGCAACAUCCAAUAAGCAAAGCAUGUAAAUCUUUUGUCAUGUAACAAUUGCAGGGUAAAAUAUAUUGAAAUUUUUAUGUACAAAGGUGUUAUAAAUAUCAUGGUCAGGGGUAGGAUCGCGGUCUCGGUGAUAGAUGAUGCUACGUCUCCGCAGGCCGGUUUAGAUCUCAUUGAGAGGCGGGGAUUAAAGAUGGACAUUGACGAAUUGCCGUUCAUAGAUAUUCGAUCACUUAAAACUUCGCUGAAAUAGGUUAAGCCAUUUUAAAAACUUAAUUUUAUUUUCUGUAAAAAAAAGUUCACAAUUUUUUCUUUCAAAAUUUGGCAGUGCACUCUUGUAUUUAAUAGUGUUAUGAAUUAUUAGAAUGAUAAAUAAAGUACUGUUUAUGUCUAUUUUGUACAGUUUUUAAGGACUAGAAUGCUACAGUAACCGUUUCGACGAUUCUUGCAUUAAUUUUACUGUCAUGAAUUUAAUAGAGGGAAAUCUAUAAAUGGGACAUUUUAGCAAUUUAAAAAUUUAAAUUUAUUAUAAAGUAAUUUUAUAAUACUAAAUGACCGCCUGACAAUAUUCAUUCAAAGCAUUAGAUUAUAUGAUAGGUAUAGCCCAACUUUUUUUGAUGACGUAUAGUUGAUGAAGUAAUUUAAAAUUAACAUUUAUACGUUUAUUACUGUCUGUUAGUUAAUGCGAUGCCCUGUAGGUAUAUGUAUGCAUUUAGUUACAAUAUGAAAAAAA